rnacentral:rRNA from 1 species
GUAGGGGGCAAGCGUUGUCCGGAUUUAUUGGGCGUAAAGAGCGUGUAGGCGGCCGCACAGGUCCGUUGUGAAAACUGGAGGCUUAACCUUCAGACGUCGAUGGAAACCGUGCGGCUAGAGUCCUGAAGAGGAGAAUGGAAUUCCUGGUGUAGCGGUGAAAUGCGCAGAUAUCAGGAAGAACACCCGUGGCUAAGGCGGUUCUCUAGUACGGUACUGACGCUGAGACGCGAAAGCGUGGGGAGCGAACAGGAUUAGAUACCCUGGUAGUCCACGCCGUAAACGAUGGGUGCUAGUGUGGGGGGUGUCGACUCCCCCCGUGCCGAAGCUAACGCAUUAAGCACCCCGCCUGGGGAGUACGGCCGCAAGGCUA